GCCGGGGUGGUGGAACUGCCAGACACGAAGGACUUAAAAUCCUUUGAGAGAAAUCUCGUGCGGGUUGGACUCCCGCCCCCGGCACCA
rnacentral:tRNA from 1 species